GUCGGGGUCACCCGACUAUGGAAAUAAAUGGCCGCCGCAAUAAACCAUUCGGACCCGGGGGCGGUACCCGGCGCCUCCACCCAAGCCCGUUCCUCUCGUUUCGAAAGGCGGGUUUCGGCGGGGGCGAAAUAGGAUCGACGAGGGCGUAAAGGGCUCGCUUUUUCCCGGUAUUGUUCCGCCGUUAUCGGGCUACUGCAAUAGUUGCCAACGACAACUAUGCUCCGGUUGCUCAGGCUGCGUAAGGCAGUUUGAAAGACCACUUUAAAGCCCUAACGGGUUAAGCUCCGUUAGGCGGGGUUCGGAGGCACCUGGCAACAGAAGCCUCCACU
rnacentral:tmRNA from 1 species